AAAGAAACCCACAGGGAUUGCCCUAGUACGGCGAGUGAAGCGGCAACAGCUCAAAUUUGAAAUCUGGCCCUCGGGUCCGAGUUGUAAUUUGUAGAGGAUGCUUUUGGUGAGGUGCCUUCCGAGUUCCCUGGAACGGGACGCCAUAGAGGGUGAGAGCCCCGUCUGGUUGGACACCGAGCCUCUGUAAAGCUCCUUCGACGAGUCGAGUAGUUUGGGAAUGCUGCUCUAAAUGGGAGGUAUAUGUCUUCUAAAGCUAAAUACCGGCCAGAGACCGAUAGCGCACAAGUAGAGUGAUCGAAAGAUGAAAAGCACUUUGAAAAGAGAGUUAAAAAGUACGUGAAAUUGUUGAAAGGGAAGCGCUUAUGACCAGACUUGGGCUUGGUUGAUCAUCCUGGGUUCUCCCUGGUGCACUCUUCCAGUUCAGGCCAGCAUCAGUUCGCUGCGGGGGAUAAAAGUUUUGGGAAUGUGGCUCCUUCGGGAGUGUUAUAGCCCAUUUCAUAAUACCCUGCUCCGGACUGAGGUUCGCGCAUCUGCAAGGAUGCUGGCGUAAUGGUCAUCAGCGACCCGUCUUGAAACACGGACCAAGGAGUCGUCUUCGUAUGCGAGUGUUCGGGUGUUAAACCCCUACGCGUAAUGAAAGUGAACGCAGGUGAGAGCUUCGGCGCAUCAUCGACCGAUCCUGAUGUUCUCGGAUGGAUUUGAGUAAGAGCAUACGGGGCCGGACCCGAAAGAAGGUGAACUAUGCCUGUAUAGGGUGAAGCCAGAGGAAACUCUGGUGGAGGCUCGCAGCGGUUCUGACGUGCAAAUCGAUCGUCAAAUAUGGGCAUGGGGCGAAAGACUAAUCGAACCUUCUAGUAGCUGGUUUCCGCCGAAGUUUCCCUCAGGA
rnacentral:rRNA from 1 species